UACGUAGGGGGCUAGCGUUGUCCGGAAUCAUUGGGCGUAAAGAGCGUGUAGGCGGCCCGGUAAGUCCGCUGUGAAAGUCGGGGGCUCAACCCUCGGAUGCCGGUGGAUACUGUCGGGCUCGAGUACGGAAGAGGCGAGUGGAAUUCCUGGUGUAGCGGUGAAAUGCGCAGAUAUCAGGAGGAACACCGGUGGCGAAGGCGGGUCUCUGGGCCGAUACUGACGCUGAGGAGCGAAAGCAUGGGUAGCGAACAGG
rnacentral:rRNA from 1 species